rnacentral:rRNA from 1 species
CCCUCAAACAAAGAGAGGGGAGGGGCAUGUGCACGCUCUGUUCACACAUCCACUCACACCUGUGCACCCUCUGUAGUCCCACGGUCUUGGGGGGGCCCUGUCUCCCCACCGUGGUCCUAUGUCUUUAUACACACACACCGUAACGAGGUCUCGUGGGAUGUAUNNNGCCGCGUUCGACGCGAUACAAUACAACUUUCAGCAACGGAUCUCUUGGCUCUCGCAUCGAUGAAGAACGCAGCGAAAUGCGAUAAGUAAUGUGAAUUGCAGAAUUCAGUGAAUCAUCGAAUCUUUGAACGCACCUUGCGCCCCUUGGCCACUCCAAUGGGCAUGCCUGUUUGAGUAUCAUGAACACCUCAACUCUCAUGGGGUUUACCCCUGAUGAGCUUGGACUUUUGGGGGUUUUGCUGGCUCAUUGUUGGCUCCUCUCAAAUGAAUCAGCUUGCUGGCAUUUGGUGGCAAUCGCAGGUGUGAUAACUAUCUACACUUGCGGUGUCCCACCGGAUAACCUUCGGCAAUGGAGGUUCGCUGGAGCUUAUAAGCGUCAUCUCCCUUUUGGCAGGAGAUAGGUUUUUGAAUGUUUGAUCUCAAAUCAGGUAGGACCACCCGCUGAACUUAAGCAUAUCAAUAAGCGGAGGAAAAGAAACUAACGAGGAUUCCCCUAGUAACUGCGAGUGAAGCGGGAAGAGCUCAAAUUUNAAAUCUGGCGUGCCUCUGGUCGUCCGAGUUGUAGUCUGGAGA